UACGGGGGGGCAAGCGUUGUUCGGAAUUACUGGGCGUAAAGGGUUGUAGGUGGCUCGCUAAGUCAUACGUGAAAGUCCCUCAGCUUAACUGGGGAACUGCGUGUGAGACUGGCAAGCUCGAGUGCAGGAGAGGAAUGCGGAAUUCCAGGUGUAGCGGAUGAAAUGCGUAGAUAUCCGGAAGAACACCAGUGGUGAAGGCGGUCUGCUGGGCAGUGGACUCGAGGAGAAGUCCUUCAACCGACGACUGAGGCGACGACAGCGUGGGGAGCAAACAGG
rnacentral:rRNA from 1 species